GCGGCUAUAGUUCAAUGGUAGAACACUGGUUUGUGGUACCAGCUACAAGGGUUCGAUUCCCUUUAGCCGCCCCA
rnacentral:tRNA from 1 species